UGGCAAAAGGAUUGUUUACAUUCUUAUAUAGAAUAUGUACUUGAGGUGAUACCGAAGACUAAAAUAAUGCUCAUGCUUAACCCCAUGACUAGUUCUUUACCAUGUGUUCAGAGUAAAAUUCUACAUUAAAAUUGGCUACAGGUCAGUUUAAUUAUUAAACUUAGAUCUGUAUGUGUACAGUGAUAGAGUGAGUAAUACACAGUAAAAAGGUUGCACCU